rnacentral:tRNA from 1 species
GCCCGCGGUGGCUCAGAUGGAUAGAGCGUCUGCCAUGUAAGCAGGAGAUCCUGGGUUCGAGUCCCAGUCGGGGCA